GACCAAAUAUGGAAAUAAUAAAUAAGAUAGGCAAGAAUUCACACCUUCCUCUUAAAAAGUACAUGAGAACAUAUCCAAGAGAUUCUAAAUCAUCCCUCCGGCUUUGCUCUAUGCAAUCCAAUAUCAGAGUCAGAAACAGGAACAACACCGCAC